rnacentral:lncRNA from 1 species
CAUAAAUAGUGACCAAAAAGGUAUGGCUAUCACAUGAGAGAAGCUAGAAAAAAGUCAAAUGUAUACAUUUUAAACAUUUUUGUGGGACCAUGAAAAUGUGGUAUAUAGAUAGAUAUGCAUAGAUAGACCAUAGAACAAAUAAGCAAACAAAUUCAAAGGAGAUGUACAUGUAAGAUGAAUUAUGAAAAAAAAGAGCCAUGGCCAGGGGCCCCAAACUUGACAGCAUUUGGUGUUGAACAGGUAAAAUGUUUGCAGUGACAAUAAAUAUAGCCUUUGUUAGAGGUGACCCAGGUCGCCUUUCUCUAAAUCAGCUAUAUUAAACAUAUUUCUGGGCCGGGUUGAAAAAUAAAUGAAAAUGACUUUAAAAAAAGCUAAUAGAAAUACACCAAAUUUGGGAG